rnacentral:rRNA from 1 species
AUUGAACGCUGGCGGCAUGCCUAACACAUGCAAGUCGAACGCCCCGCAAGGGGAGUGGCAGACGGGUGAGUAACACGUGGGAACAUGCCCAAAGGUACGGAAUAUUCUCGGGAAACUGGGAGCAAUACCGUAUGUGCCCGAAAGGGGAAAGAUUUAUCGCCUUUGGAUUGGCCCGCGUUGGAUUAGCUAGUUGGUGGGGUAAAAGCCUACCAAGGCGACGAUACAUAGCUGGUCUGAGAGGACGACCAGCCACACUGGGACUGAGACACGGCCCAGACUCCUACGGGAGGCAGCAGUGGGGAAUCUUGGACAAUGGGCGCAAGCCUGAUCCAGCCAUGCCGCGUGAGUGAUGAAGGCCCUAGGGUUGUAAAACUCUUUCGUGGGGGACGAUAAUGACGGUACCCCAAGAAGAAGCUCCGGCUAACUUCGUGCCAGCAGCCGCGGUAAUGUAGUCGUG